rnacentral:rRNA from 1 species
GAUGAACGCUGGCGGCGUGCCUAAUACAUGCAAGUCGAGCGAAUGGAUUAAGAGCUUGCUCUUAUGAAGUUAGCGGCGGACGGGUGAGUAACACGUGGGUAACCUGCCCAUAAGACUGGGAUAACUCCGGGAAACCGGGGCUAAUACCGGAUAACAUUUUGAACCGCAUGGUUCGAAAUUGAAAGGCGGCUUCGGCUGUCACUUAUGGAUGGACCCGCGUCGCAUUAGCUAGUUGGUGAGGUACCGGCUCACCAAGGCAACGAUGCGUAGCCGACCUGGGAGGGUGUUCGGCCACGCUGGGACUGAGACACGGCCCAGACGCCUACGGGAGGAAACAGUAGGGAAUCUUCCGCAAUGGACGAAAGUCUGACGGAGCAACGCCGCGUGAGUGAUGAGGGUUUUCGGGUCGUAAAACUCUGUUGUUAGGGAAGAACAAGUGCUAGUUGAAUAAGCUGGCACCUUGACGGUACCUAACCAGAAAGCCACGGCUAACUACGUGCCAGCCGCCGCCGUAA